UAUAAUUUGGUCUGGGUUAUAUUUAGGGAGUUGUUGAGCGUGAAAGCCUUAACCCCACCGAUUUCAUAAACCUCUCUCUGGGAUUAUGAGGUAGGUUCUCCACAACUAGUUACAAAAGAAAGGGAAUCAUUUUCGCUGACAAGUAUUUGCCAAUAUAGGUUGAGUGAUUGUCAUCCCCAGUUCAUUGCUUCAUUGACAUGUAGCUGUAAGUUAUCUAGUUUUUCCUCAUGGUGCAGGUCAGGCUUUUUCCCCAGUGGACAUAUUUAGUAUUAUAUAUGAUUUUGCUAGUAAUCAUUUUGGGUUCAUAUCAACGUACUAUGGUUCAAUUUGAGAGCAGCUCUUUUUAUUCUCUGCUAUGUUGGAGAUAUUCAUUGAAUCAUGUCUAAUUGA